CCAGCUGUGGAAGGAUAAGGGGCUGGGUAUCUCAGUGGCCUAUGCUGCCUGCCCUUGGGAGACCCAGACCCAGGGCUGCCCCCACCACAGGCUAGCUUGCAACUCUCCCCCAACUCCUCUCCUGCCUCACCAACAAAUAUUCACCAUGUGGAGGGUGAGGACCCAGAGAUGUAAGGAUCACCUGUCUCUACCCUGAAAACUUACAGAUGGGGUGACCUGAUAUUUACACAAAGUAGUAGCCUAUGCCAGCCACCCAAUGAGAAGACAGACAAGUACGAUGGAAAGCCUUCUCUUCAGACCUAGGGAAGUGGUGUUGAAGAAAGCAUAGGUCUGAAGAGAAGUUAAGGAAGGGAUCUCAAGCAGGACAUGAACAAAGUUGCAAAGGCCUCCUGCAAACCUGGGGAAGAGGAUUCAUAGAACAAACAACGCAUGUUGGGCAGUUGCAAAAAGCAUGGCUGGAGAGGUCACCGCUGGAUUGCCCCUUUUAUUUCGGUUCUCCAAAUGCCGCUUCUUUUUAACACUCUUUUCUCAACUGUCCUCUCUACAAAACACUUUACUUACAAUACUCCGGUUAUCGCCCUUUCCGGCUCCCUCAAUCCUCACACUCCCUCCUCUCCAAGCCUCUAAUCCUUGAGUUCCUAAUUUAGUCCUCAGGUCUCCCUCCCUAGUAGCUUCUCGAUCGCUUUCUUCGUUCAAGUUCCCUCUCCCCUGUCAUUUGUUUCCAAGCCCCGCCCUCGAUCUCUCUACAGCGGCUCCACCUUCCUACUCCCAGUUCAUACUCUAUCCCUCCCGCUCACCCGCACCACCAGACUCCGGGAUCCCUCCAAGAAGUGGCUGAAGGGAGGUAAAGCGCACGAACUCCACUCCGGUGCCAAAGGCCAGGAUGAAAGAGGCGAGGGCGGCAGGGACCAGGAGCAGUGCCGGGGCCAUUGCGAGAAAUGGAGGGGUGGGGAAAGGGGCGGGGUCGGGAUUCCCGCUACCACAGACCCCGCCCCCGCCCCCGCCCCCCGCACAGAACCCAGCGCAGGAGGGCGGGGCCCCUGCACGCCGCUCGCUGCCCGACUUCCGGCCCGCGGGGCGCCGCCUCUCACACCCAGCGGCGGACCGGUGCCGGGAUUCGUGUCCCAGCCUGCGGUGUCUCCAUCACAGAAGGGAAUGUUAGAAUCCCGUCUGUGUUAGAGACAGAGAGCUGUUAAGGGUAGCGGCUCUGCAGCCGCUCACAUGGAUUGAAUCUCAGCUCGUCUAGUUUUCCCAUCUAAAAUGAAAAGUGACUAUUUUACAACAAAAUAAAUUAAUGCUUAUUCU